rnacentral:rRNA from 1 species
GACGAACGCUGGCGGCGUGCCUAAUACAUGCAAGUCGAGCGAAGUUUUUCUGGUGCUUGCACUAGAAAAACUUAGCGGCGAACGGGUGAGUAACACGUAAAGAACCUGCCUCAUAGACUGGGACAACUAUUGGAAACGAUAGCUAAUACCGGAUAACAGUAUUUCUCGCAUGAGAGAUAUUUAAAAGUUGGUUAUGCUAACACUAUGAGAUGGCUUUGCGGUGCAUUAGCUAGUUGGCGGGGUAAAGGCCCACCAAGGCGACGAUGCAUAGCCGACCUGAGAGGGUGAUCGGCCACACUGGGACUGAGACACGGCCCAGACUCCUACGGGAGGCAGCAGUAGGGAAUCUUCCGCAAUGGGCGAAAGCCUGACGGAGCAACGCCGCGUGAGUGAAGAAGGAUUUCGGUUCGUAAAGCUCUGUUGUUAGGGAAGAAUGGAUAUGUAGUAACUAUACAUGUAAGAGACGGUACCUAACCAGAAAGCCACGGCUAACUACGU